GAUGAACGCUGGCGGCGUGCUUAACACAUGCAAGUCGAACGAUGAAGCCCAGCUUGCUGGGUGGAUUAGUGGCGAACGGGUGAGUAACACGUGAGUAACCUGCCCUUAACUCUGGGAUAAGCCUGGGAAACUGGGUCUAAUACCGGAUAGGAGCGUCCACCGCAUGGUGGGUGUUGGAAAGAUUUAUCGGUUUUGGAUGGACUCGCGGCCUAUCAGCUUGUUGGUGAGGUAAUGGCUCACCAAGGCAACGCCGGGUAGCCGGCCUGAGAGGGUGACCGGCCACCCUGGGACUGAGACAGGGCCCAGACGCCUACGGGAGGCAGCAGUGGGGAAUAUUGCACAAUGGGCGCAAGCCUGAUGCAGCGACGCCGCGUGAGGGAUGACCGCCUUCGGGUUGUAAACCUCUUUCAGUAGGACAGAAGCGAUAGUGACGGUACCUGCAGAAGAAGCACCGGCUAACUACGUG
rnacentral:rRNA from 1 species